rnacentral:rRNA from 1 species
GACGAACGCUGGCGGCGUGCUUAACACAUGCAAGUCGAGCGGAAAGGCCACUUCGGUGGUACUCGAGCGGCGAACGGGUGAGGAACACGUGAGUAAUCUGCCCUUCACUCUGGGAUAGCCACCGGAAACGGUGAUUAAUACCGGAUACGAACAACCCACGCAUGUGGUGGUGGGUGAAACUUUUUGGGUGGGGGAUGUGCUCGCGGCCUAUCGGCUUGUUGGUGGGGUAAUGGCCUACCAAGGCUUCGACGGGUAGCCGGCCUGGGAGGGUGGCCGGCCACACUGGGACUGAGACACGGCCCAGACUCCUACGGGAGGCAGCAGUGGGGAAUAUUGGACAAUGGGCGGAAGCCUGAUCCAGCAACGCCGCGUGAGGGAUGACGGCCUUCGGGUUGUAAACCUCUUUCAGCACCGACGAAGCGCAAGUGACGGUAGGUGCAGAAGAAGGACCGGCCAACUACGUGCCAGCAGCCGCCGUAA